rnacentral:rRNA from 1 species
AGAGUUUGAUCCUGGCUCAGGACGAACGCUGGCGGCGUGCUUAACACAUGCAAGUCGAGCGAAGAUUGCAGCAAUGUAAUCUUAGCGGCGGACGGGUGAGUAACACGUGGGCAACCUGCCUUAGACAGGGGGAUAACACUGGGAAACUAGUGCUAAUACCGCAUAACAUCAUAAGAAGACAUCUUCAUAUGAUCAAAGGAGCAAUCCGGUUUAAGAUGGGCCCGCGCCCGAUUAGCUAGUUGGAGAGGUAAUGGCUCACCAAGGCGACGAUCGGUAGCCGAACUGAGAGGUUGAUCGGCCACAUUGGGACUGAGAUACGGCCCAGACUCCUACGGGAGGCAGCAGUGGGGAAUAUUGCACAAUGGACGGAAGUCUGAUGCAGCAACGCCGCGUGAAGGAUGAAGGUUUUCGGAUUGUAAACUUCUUUGAUGAGGGACGAAAGAAAUGACGGUACCUCAAAAACAAGCCACGGCUAACUACGUGCCAGCAGCCGCGGUAAUACGUAGGUGGCGAGCGUUGUCCGGAAUUACUGGGUGUAAAGGGCGUGUAGGCGGGAAUAUAAGUCAGAUGUGAAAUACCAUGGCUUAACUGUGGGGCUGCAUCUGAAACUAUGUUUCUUGAGUGCUGGAGAGGAAAGCGGAAUUCCUAGUGUAGCGGUGAAAUGCGUAGAUAUUAGGAGGAACACCAGUGGCGAAGGCGGCUUUCUGGACAGUAACUGACGCUGAGGCGCGAAAGCGUGGGGAGCAAACAGGAUUAGAUACCCCGGUAGUCC